UAGAGUAGGCGAGGCUGGGAGCAAGGACACCUGGGUUCUUUCCCCAGCUCUGGGAGGAAAGGGGGUCUGGUAAGGUAUGGGGAGUGGGACAGGGCUGGGAGCCAGGACUCCUGGGUUCCAUCUCCGCUGUCCCCUCUGCUUUCAGACUCGGUACCCCAGCCCUUGGGGGGCCCUGUGGUGACCCGCUGCCCUGAGCACUGGAGGGACCAGGCUUUGCUCCCUGUGCCCCCGGUGCCUCCGGCCCGGCGGGGAAAGCAGCGUCUGGCCUCCACCGCGUCUGUCUGCAGCCACCAGAGCUGCAAAUCCACUGCCUCGCACAUCCAGGAGGUAGCUGGGGAUGACCGCUGUGCUCACUGUGCCCUGGCCUGCCUGUUCUGCGAGUUCCUGGCGCUCUGCUCCCUGGUGCUGGACGGGCUGGGCUGCGGGGCGCUGUGCCUUGCGGGGGGGUGCUGUGCCGGGGGGGACCCCCUGGGUCAGGGCUGUGGAGGAGGCGGCUGCCCCUGCAGAGCGGGGUGCGGGCUCCUCCAGGACUGCUGCAACUCCGCCGACUGCCUGGAAAUCUGCCUGGAGUGCUGCUCCAUCUGCUUCCCCAGCUGACCCAGGGCUGGGGCUCAGCCCCCCCAUCCCAAAGAAUCCCCCCAUUAGGUAAGGGCCCCCGUCCCUCAUGAUCCCACCCUAUUCCUGUCUGGUCCUAAUCCUGGCUCUCUAUGGGCUAAGCCCCACCCCAUACAACCCAGCUGGUGAUGUCAUUGGAUGGACCUAGCCAUGCCCCCAUGAAGGGUGAUGUCACCCAGUGUCCCAAGUCACACCUCCACUCAUGAUGUCAUUCAAUGAGACAAGGGCUAUGGGCUGCUCACAGGGCAGGUCCUCACAACCCAACAAGCCCCACCCAUCCGACUGCGGCCUUAUCAGAGGUGGUAAGCCACGCCCACAAUGGUGGUGAUGUCACUGAGUAGAACAAGCCACACCCUAUCUACUGUGAUGUCAUCAAAGGGUCUGCCCAGGUGUCUAGGCAGUGACACCUCCAAAUAGCCCCAGCAGGGGGGCAGGGCCUGCAGGAAGCCACACCUCUAUGCAGUGAUGUCAUUGAAUGCUUGGGUGUGGUUGCCAGAGCUCCUCCUCCUCUGCUGUGAUGUCAUCAAAUGGACUCAGAUGUCACAAGUUGGAGCAGUAUUAACCCCGUGGGUGCUGUCCCCAGUUUUGCAGGUGCCCCUCACUCCCGACCUGCAGCCCCUGCUAGCCCAGCCCUGGGCUCCCUUGCCCCACCUCACUUAUGAGCUGGCUAAAGGUGGGUGCCGUGUCUCCCAGGAGGAGGGAUAGUUGGGGCUGGGUUGGGAGGGAUUCCCUCAGGAGAGCUGGAGACUGCUUGGAGUCCUGGUUCCACCCUUCUCACCCCCGCAAAGACGGGAGGAUACCAUGGCCCCUGAAGCUGCCCCCCACCCCCUAGGCCUCGAAGAGCAGCAGACAGAGGGGGAGCCCCCCCCCAUGUUCAUUCUCUUUUAAAUAAAUUGCAUGAGCUCA